GCCACCACUGUGAGACUUGAGACCACGGGCCCAAAAUCCCUAACGGGAAGGCAGCACGUGGGGGAAUAUUUUGCGCAAAUGUGCGAAAGCCCUUAACGCAGCAACGCCGCGUGCGGGAUGAAGGCUAUCGGGUUGUAAACCGCUUUCACCCGGGAAAGAAACGACAAGUGCACGGUACCUUGCAGAAAGAAGACACCGGGUUAAACUAACCGUUCCCAACAAGCGGGUGGGAAUAACCUACAGGUGCAAACCUUGUCCGGCAAUUAUUGGGCGUCAAGAACUUCGUAUGCGGUUAGUCCCGUCGGCAUUGUUGAAUCCCCCUGCGUUAAACUGGGGCUGCAUACGAAAACGGGCUGAAUAAAAUGUUG
rnacentral:rRNA from 1 species